rnacentral:rRNA from 1 species
UACGAAGGGUGCAAGCGUUAAUCGGAAUUACUGGGCGUAAAGCGUGCGCAGGCGGUUUUGUAAGUCUGUCGUGAAAGCCCCGGGCUCAACCUGGGAAUUGCGAUGGAGACUGCAAGGCUUGAAUCUGGCAGAGGGUGGUAGAAUUCCACGUGUAGCAGUGAAAUGCGUAGAGAUGUGGAGGAACACCGAUGGCGAAGGCAGCCCCCUGGGUCAAGAUUGACGCUCAUGCACGAAAGCGUGGGGAGCAAACAGG